rnacentral:lncRNA from 1 species
UUCUUUACCAUAUAUCUGUAUAUCUAAAUUAGGCCAUUCUAUUAGUUCUUUCAAGAACUAAGAAAAAGCCUGGCCCAAAGGUAGAUUCUAGUCUUCUUAGAAGGCGGAAACUAAAUGAGAAGUGUCCAGUUAAAAGUUUUCUAGUUUCAAAAAUAUAAAACUCAAAUCUCUACCAGAUAUCUAUAUAUAUGAAUGUGGGAAAUAAUGGAGCAAUAAGCUCACUGGUUCCUCUAGCUCUAGAAAAUACUUAUAACUUUUAUAGAAUAUGAGUAGGUGAAGAAGUUAAGAGGAGGUGAUGAUGAAGUGAAUAUGGUGUUUCUAAAAAAGUUUCUUGAAAGAGUAGGAU